rnacentral:sRNA from 1 species
CUUCUACGGGAAUAGGGAUGGAGAACCUUCGACUAAGGUUCGAGUCGAGCAUCGCGAGACAACGCGCGUCAGC